UACGGAGGGGGCUAGCGUUGUUCGGAAUCACUGGGCGUAAAGCGUACGUAGGCGGCCAUUCAAGUCAGAGGUGAAAGCCCAGGGCUCAACCCUGGAACUGCCUUUGAAACUAGAUGGCUGGAACACGGGAGAGGUGAGUGGAAUUCCGAGUGUAGAGGUGAAAUUCGUAGAUAUUCGGAAGAACACCAGUGGCGAAGGCGGCUCACUGGACCGUUGUUGACGCUGAGGUACGAAAGCGUGGGGAGCAAACAGG
rnacentral:rRNA from 1 species